UCGCUCCCGCAGUCCUCACUGACAGGAAGCCAGGAUGCCGAAGGAUGCCCCAGGCCAGAGCUGAUGUGGAUGUCGAUGUCGAUGAUGAUGAUUCUGGGAGGAAGAAAUCGAAAAGAAAUAUUAUUUCAGCGUUUCGUUUUUUUCGCUAUUUACUAUUAUAUUUUUUUUUUUGUAGCUCUUAAGUGCACUUUCAAGGGGUUGUGUAAAUUAUUCAGCUUAAUUCUGGCUGGAUUCUGGCAUUAUUUGCAGACCACCCACCACCCACCAGCCACCAGCCACCACCCUGCCUUGACUCGAUGCGAUUCGCCUUGGGUGCCUUUGUUGUCCUUGCUGGUGCUCAUAUUUCGCUAAUGGCUGCCUGCCUCUGCCUGCCAGGACCACCUCCAUAAUUCUGCUCCUCCUCCUGGUCCUCCUCCUCCUCCUCCUGGUCCUCUUGUUGCUGCUGUUCUUGCGGGUUGGUCGUUGCAUUGCGCACAGGAUGUCAUUAUGGCGCACAACUGCAAUGCCCCUGUCCCGUGGCCCCUGGCCCCUGCCCUCUCGCCAUUCUUUCCUUCAUUCAUAGCCUCCAUUCCGCCAAAUUGAAUUAUAUCGAAUUUGGUAUUUUGCAAUUUGUAUUCCACUCCCAUUCCCACUCCCAUUCCCAUUCCCAUCGAGGCUGCUGCUGCUGCCCAAAGUUAAUGGAUGGCUCGGCGGUAGCAGUGCAGAUUUGAUGGGUUGAUGGGUUCUCGUGGGUGGGAGACUGAUUUGCGCCACAUAUAUAAUGCAAUUAAUUAAAUAUUAACCGCCGACGAGUAAAACUGAUCUCUGGGGCAUGGGUAAUGGGGUUAGGGGUUUGCCCACGAGGGCAAUGCCUCCUUCAAUGUCAGUUUCUAAGGAAACCCUGAGUCUAGGCUUCAUGGGAAACUCUGGCCAAAUCUCACCAUCAAAGCAUGCCAUACUUAAACGUCAUAGCAUAGAAGGCACAUUCAGGCCCAGAAACACACAGUCAAAAUUCUAGUUCCGUUCGGAGCGGACGUGUGAAAAAUCAGAUCCCAGUAAAAAACAAAAAAAAUAAAAUUUUAGUUUUUGUCUCUGUCAGUUCAGUCUUGGGUCUUACAGACAACGCACUGAUCCUGCACCGUCGAGGGAUGUCCCAAAUGCGCAGAGGGCCUCGAUGGAUGCCUUGCGGAUGACCUCCUGGAAGUCAUCAAAAGCGUCGAACUGCGAGUUCCUUCAAGAUUAAUGACGCCUCCUCCUUUUCCAAGACAAAGUCGUUAUCCAUUUGCAACUCGUUCGAAUCCUUAUUGCCAUCGGCCUCAUCAUGAUUCUUGUUGACAUUGUCGUAUUUUGUGGAUGCCACCAUUUGAAGCAUGCGUUCGGUAAUCUUCACGGAACGCGGGGGCCAUAUUCUCAAUCACAACGAACGAUAGUCCGCCCGUUUCAGGUCUGGAUCAGCUGGUCCCAGCGUUGCACUCAAACAGACUGAGAACAAACCGUAACUAUUAUAUGAACAGAAUAGGCCAUGACAAUUUUGCAUUACCGAUCCAUCAGAACUGACAAAUGUGGCACAAGCGCAUCCCCAAGGCUCUCGCAGACAACUUCCAGAGCAGAAGAUGCGACUCAUGCAGUUGGCGAUCGAGGUCAGUGCAUCGAUGCACUCCGUACUACUCCGCCGAACGCGCGAACAAAACUGCAAUGGUGUCUUGUGGAAACAUGUUCGAUUCUUGGCAUCUCCAAAUGUAAGCUGACAGCUCUCACUCAGCCGGCCUUGAUUGUUGCUCCGGCAGUUGCUCCACCAGCAGCUUCUCGCGCAACAGAUAUUGCAUGGGUUUCAUCUUCACCGCUGGGAUUUGCGGGGAUUUUUUAAGCUCGUCCUCGUCUUUGCCCAGGGAUCCGGCGAGUGGAUCCGGCGAGAGCGCGGAGGAAGCUAACGAGAAGUGGGAGCGAAGGCUGACGGAUCGUCGGUACAAGUGCAGCCCUGUCCGGCAUCUCAACGGUGGCCAUCGCAUCGAAAACGAGUGCGCCGAGUCUGGCUUCGAUCGCCCAAGAUACGAUGUAGUUUUGUAUGACUUUGAACCUGACCUGAAACGGGCCUGCCGUUCGUUGUGUAUGCGAAUAUGGUCACUGCGUUCCACUAGAUUUUCGAACGCUUGCUUCAGACAGUUGCAUCCACAGAGCAUGGCAAUGACAACGAGAUUGAUGGUGAUGACGAUGACGAUAACGGUACAAAUGAGUUGCAGGUGGCGACCGACUGUGCCUUUGAGGAGGAGAAGGCCACAUAAGCCUUAAAGGAACUCGCUGUGGGUUCAAGCAAGGUCUUCGCACGCCAGAUCUUGUCAGGGUCUCACCUUCGCCGCUGGCAUUUACUGGUAUUUGUUGAGGUCAUCCUCGUCCUUGACCAGCGAGCGGCGAGUGGAUCCGGCGAGAGCGGGAAGGAAGCUAACGAAUGGUGGGAAGAAGAGGACCGUGCCUGGCUUGUCGAGCAGUAGUCUUGCCAACCCGGCAUGGAGAAGUGCACCAAGUGAGACCGAAGGCUGUCUCAUCUACCAAAGACCAGCUUUGUGGAUUGGUACAACGUAUUUCUGCCAUUGAUCGAUACAACAGAGAAUUUCAUUCACAAAUAUAUACAAAUUAACAGUUGAAAAGUGUAGUAAAUAUAUUCCAAGUGAAACAGUAA
rnacentral:sRNA from 1 species